rnacentral:rRNA from 1 species
CAAGUCGAACGGCAGCGCGGGGCAACCUGGCGGCGAGUGGCGAACGGGUGAGUAAUAUAUCGGAACGUACCCUGGAGUGGGGGAUAACGUAGCGAAAGUUACGCUAAUACCGCAUACGAUCUAAGGAUGAAAGCAGGGGACCGCAAGGCCUUGUGCUCCUGGAGCGGCCGAUAUCUGAUUAGCUAGUUGGUGGGGUAAAGGCCCACCAAGGCAUCGAUCAGUAGCUGGUCUGAGAGGACGACCAGCCACACUGGAACUGAGACACGGUCCAGACUCCUACGGGAGGCAGCAGUGGGGAAUUUUGGACAAUGGGCGAAAGCCUGAUCCAGCAAUGCCGCGUGAGUGAAGAAGGCCUUCGGGUUGUAAAGCUCUUUUGUCAGGGAAGAAACGGUGGAGGCUAAUAUCCUUUGCUAAUGACGGUACCUGAAGAAUAAGCACCGGCUAACUACGUGCCAGCAGCCGCGGUAAUACGUAGGGUGCAAGCGUUAAUCGGAAUUACUGGGCGUAAAGCGUGCGCAGGCGGUUUUGUAAGUCUGUCGUGAAAUCCCCGGGCUCAACCUGGGAAUGGCGAUGGAGACUGCAAGGCUAGAGUUUGGCAGAGGGGGGUAGAAUUCCACGUGUAGCAGUGAAAUGCGUAGAUAUGUGGAGGAACACCGAUGGCGAAGGCAGCCCCCUGGGUCAAAACUGACGCUCAUGCACGAAAGCGUGGGGAGCAAACAGGAUUAGAUACCCUGGUAGUCCACGCCCUAAACGAUGUCUACUAGUUGUCGGGUCUUAAUUGACUUGGUAACGCAGCUAACGCGUGAAGUAGACCGCCUGGGGAGUACGGUCGCAAGAUUAAAACUCAAAGGAAUUGACGGGGACC